GCCAGCCAGACGAGGUAUUGGAGCGAAUUGGGAAAGGAGCAUUUGGCUCUGCGCUAUUGGUCAGGCGUGGAGAAGAAAAAGCGAGCCUGCCUUUACCUAGGUAUGCGCUGAAGAAGAUAGCACUCGCAGGUCUGCCCACCAGGAGCUUGUCGUGACAGCAUUUAUCGUGGAGUACAAAUAUUCUUGGGUGGAGAAGGUUAUUGUCCGGGGGAGUCAUGUAUGUAUUCACCACGGUCGCCGUGCGCACCACCUCCAGAUCACAGCAGUCGCCCCUGCGCCUGUCCCUUCCCUGGCCGCCAAGCCAAGGAAGAGAAAUUGAUGGUUACAUGAUUCAUCUGCAUUUUUCCUUGGUUCUCAGGUAUAACUUUGGGUGGGGCCAUGGGAAGGAUAAACUAGAG